CCCCACCCUGUGGUGUUGCAGGUGUGGUUCCUGCUUGGAGAGGUUAUAAUGAAUUAGUGGGCUCACUUAUGAGUAGGUUUUUAUCUCGAAAGGAGCACCUGUGGGGACAGGUGUCUGAGCUUUGGUUUGUGUGGUUCAGAGAACCCGAUGUGCAGGCAUGUGGUGGGCAGGUGGUUUGAGCCUGGGUGUCUUUGCUUUCCUCUGAUUUUUUUUUGUGUUCUUUUGUUGAAGUCACCACAGAAUGAGGGAAAUUGUUGAACCAUCAUGGUGUUGAAGAUGCAGCUUUGUAUGAGGCCUAAUAUCGACUAUACUGACUGGAGCAAGCCCAAGCUGGAGGGAGCCAGAAUUCAGAUUUUCUUACUCAGUAGUUUAGAAAAUUUAAAAUGUCUGAUGUGGAGCCACAGACACCUUAUUUGGAAGAAGAAUGACACUGC
rnacentral:lncRNA from 1 species